rnacentral:misc_RNA from 1 species
GUUGCGCAGCAGCGAGAGCUUGAUUCAAGGUAUCAGCCUGCACGGUAUUUGCGCUGAGCGUGCCAGGAAGCAGCUCGAGUGUCCUCUUCGAUGUGACGACGGAGCCCACUUCCGGUCUGGCGAGACCGGAAGCAUCUCGUUCCUCGACGUCGCUAUCGAAUACCGUAUAUUGGAAUAAACUAGCUAAGCCACGUUUGAGGUUUGCCGAAGAGACGCUCUCUGCAGUAUCCAUGAAGAUGGAAUUUACAUUGCCGUUUCUCCAAAAUAUUAGCAAAGGUUUCUGUGCAAGGGCAUUUAUUCUGGAGGAGUGUUCGACGAAUCCUUCCAGUUCUGAAGCACUUCGAGAUUUGAUCCAUAGUUGUGGUUGCAGGAGCUAUGGAAAAUACAAAAAUUUGUUUUUAU